rnacentral:rRNA from 1 species
GACGAACGCUGGCGGCGUGCUUAACACAUGCAAGUCGAGCGGGAAACUUCGGUUUCCAGCGGCGGACGGGUGAGUAACACGUGGGCAACCUGCCUCACAAUGAGGGAUAGCCUUCCGAAAGGAAGAUUAAUACCUCAUAAUACAAGAGAAAAGCAUGUUUCUCUUGCCAAAGAAUUUCGUUGUGAGAUGGGCCCGCGGCGCAUUAGCUUGUUGGUGAGGUAACGGCUCACCAAGGCUUCGAUGCGUAGCCGACCUGAGAGGGUGAUCGGCCACAUUGGAACUGAGACACGGUCCAGACUCCUACGGGAGGCAGCAGUGGGGAAUAUUGCACAAUGGAGGAAACUCUGAUGCAGCAACGCCGCGUGAGUGAUGAAGGUCUUCGGAUUGUAAAGCUCUGUCUUCUGGGACGAUAAUGACGGUACCAGAGGAGGAAGCCACGGCUAACUACGUGCCAGCCGCCGCCGUAA